rnacentral:rRNA from 1 species
CAGCCAUGCCGCGUGUGUGAAGAAGGUCUUCGGAUUGUAAAGCUCUUUCAGUUGGGAGGAAGGGCUGUUACCUAAUACGUGACAGUUUUGACGUUACCAACAGAAUAAGCACCGGCUACUUCGUGCCAGCAGCCGCGGUAAUAA